rnacentral:lncRNA from 1 species
UGGGAUACAAAUCUUUUGUCCUCAGAAACCAACAACUGUUGACCGAAAAGAACAAGAUCGAUCAGAAAAUGAAAGCCCAGGCUCUGCUUAAUGGCAUCAAGCAUGAUAGCACCAGUUUCCUGAGUUCUUCUCAGAUGAGAAUUUCAUCCAGGACAGGAAAGCGAAUUGCCAGAAUGGCUGAUAGAUAUGCCAGAAUGCCUCUGAUGUGCCCACUGUCAUGCACCCAAAUUUCCUGCCUCUGUCCUGGUCCUAGCAGUUGUAAGCAUUUGAGGAUGAUAUCAUGCCACCACACUUUUUUUGAGGAGGGCCUGAGGGUGACUGCAGAAAGUUAAUCAUUGUGCUGGAGAC